UUUACAAUGCGGGAAACCGUGAUAAGGGAAUCUCGAGUGCCAGCAUAUAAUGUUGGCUGUCCAGAUGCCUAAAAAGCAUUUGUUAGCAAGGGCCGGGCAAGACCGGUGCCAGCCGCCGCGGUAACACCGGCGGCCCGAGUGGUAACCGUUUUUAUUGGGUCUAAAGGGUCUGUAGCCGGCCAUGUAAGUCCCUUGGGAAAUCUGGCAGCUCAACUGUCAGACUGCUAGGGGAUACUGCUUGGCUUGGGACCGGGAGAGGUGAGAGGUACCUUGAGGGUAGGGGUGAAAUCUUGUGAUCCUCGGGGGACCACCAGUGGCGAAGGCGUCUCACCAGAACGGAUCCGACGGUAAGGGACGAAAGCUAGGGGCACGAACCGGAUUAGAUACCCGGGUAGUCCUAGCCGUAAACGAUGCUCGCUAGGUGUCAGUCACGGUGCGACCGUGAUUGGUGCCGUAGGGAAGCCGUGAAGCGAGCCACCUGGGAAGUACGGCCGCAAGGCUGAAACUUAAAGGAAUUGGCGGGGGAGCACUACAACGG
rnacentral:rRNA from 1 species